AGUGAACGCUGGCGGUAGGCCUAACACAUGCAAGUCGAACGGCAGCACAGUAAGAGCUUGCUCUUACGGGUGGCGAGUGGCGGACGGGUGAGGAAUACAUCGGAAUCUACUUUUUCGUGGGGGAUAACGUAGGGAAACUUACGCUAAUACCGCAUACGACCUACGGGUGAAAGCAGGGGAUCUUCGGACCUUGCGCGAUUGAAUGAGCCGAUGUCGGAUUAGCUAGUUGGCGGGGUAAAGGCCCAUCAAGGCGACGAUCCGUAGCUGGUCUGAGAGGAUGAUCAGCCACACUGGAACUGAGACACGGUCCAGACUCCUACGGGAGGCAGCAGUGGGGAAUAUUGGACAAUGGGCGCAAGCCUGAUCCGGCCAUACCGCGUGGGUGAAGAAGGCCUUCGGGUUGUAAAGCCCUUUUGUUGGGAAAGAAAAGCAGCAGGUUAAUACCCCGCUGUUCUGACGGUACCCAAAGAAUAAGCACCGGCUAACUUCGUG
rnacentral:rRNA from 1 species